UAGAAUCCAACAUGAGGUUUCGUUCCUUCCCUCUGCAGCCACAAGGGGCCUCUGGCCACAGCAGUGCCCAUCAGCUGUGCCAGACAGAUGUGUUCCAUUCUCUGUUCCUGCUCCUGGGGGUCACAAUGGGGACUGGAGGAGCUGCUGGUGUGGCAGGAGCAGUGGCCACCCAGGCACUCCACAACUUUUCUCCAGACUGCCACACUGGCUUACUCAGCUCUGACCACCAGAGAGAGAUCAUGCAGCAGAGUUUGAAUGUGACUCUAUCCAGAAUUUCCUUAUCUCUCUGAGUCUGCUGGGAGUCUGAAAAACUGCUCUGAGCAAAGAAGUCAAGUAUGAGCCAUUUUCAAAAGAUUUUUGAUAUAUAGAACAGAAAAGGGGAGGAAGAAAGAGUCCAGAAAAAUUCAUCUGCUGCUGUUUCAAACUCGGGGACAGCAGCCCUGCUUCAAUACUGCAGAAGGUAUGUGGGGGUUCAGAUGGUGUUGGAACCCUGGAUUCUGAGAAUUUCAGCCUUUCAGUGCUGAGAGGCAGUGAUCCUCAGAAACACACUGUAUUCGAUCCAAAACCCUGGGAAAAGCUUCCUAAAUUGUGUGAUAACACUGAGGCUGUUGCUGUGUAAUUAAAAGUUAUGUCACUGGGUAAAAUAUGUAGAAAUGUAGAAAAUUAGAUUUAGAGCAUAUAGGUAAUAAUAGGUUACAACAUGGAGAAUUUUGGGUGUGGAUCUAUGCCUUCUUCCUCCUCCUUCUUCACAAACCUGAAUGUUCUGUCAUUGGGUCAAAAGUUCUGCACUGCAGAACAUGAAAAGUUAGUAAUUGGAUUGUAAGUAAAAACAUCUCAUAAUUGAUUAGUUUAGACUUCAAAAAGCUUGGAAAAUUAAAACUCAUGGCCAUUUUCCACCCUUCCAACAAAGAGGCACACUCUGUGCAGCUGUAUUACUGAUAAGAUAUAAUAAACAACUAAGUCCAAACAAGAAUUCUUGAUCUCCUGUGUCUCAAUUCAAACUGUGAGGAAAAGAACUCGAGAUGUAAAAAAAAAAAGAAUAAAAAGUAAUAAGAUGGCACCUCCCUCAGCUGCCCUAGCCCACUUUUAAAUGUCUUCAUCCACAUACCCACUUUCAUUUCUGACUGGUUUCACCUCAUCAAGGGCCGGGUGAGUCACAAUAUUUGGUAUUUCACCACCACCAG
rnacentral:lncRNA from 1 species